AGGGGUAUAGUUCAGUCGGUAGAACACCAGUCUCCAAAACUGGGUGUCGUGGGUUCGAGUCCUUCUGCCCCUGCCA
rnacentral:tRNA from 2 species